GCCCGGGUGGUGGAAUUGGCAGACACGCCAGCUUGAGGGGCUGGUGGCCCUCAAAGCCGUGCAGGUUCAAAUCCUGUCCCGGGCACCA
rnacentral:tRNA from 1 species